GGAUAAUCUGCCCUCAGGUGAGGAAUAAUCCCGGGAAACUGGGGCUAAUGCCUCAUAGGAGACGGGUGCUGGAAUGCUCUGUCUCCGAAAGGUCCGCCGCCUGAGGAUGAGUCUGCGUCCGAUUAGGUUGUUGUUGGGGUAACGGCCCAACAAGCCUUUGAUCGGUACGGGUUGUGGGAGCAAGAGCCCGGAGAUGGAUUCUGAGACAUGAAUCCAGGCCCUACGGGGCGCAGCAGGCGCGAAAACUUUACAAUGCGAGCAAUCGUGAUAAGGAAACCCUGAGUGCCUGUCGAUGCAGGCUGUUCUGGUGUCUAACACACACCAGGAGAAAGGGCGGGGCAAGACCGGUGCCAGCCGCCGCGGUAAUACCGGCUGCUCGAGUGAUAGCCACUUUUACUGGGCUUAAAGCGUCCGUAGCUUGGUCGUUAAGUCUCUGGGGAAAUCUUUUGGCUCAACCAAAAGGUGUCUCAGGGAAACUGACGAUCUUGGAACCGGGAGAGGUAAGACGUACUUCGGGGGUAGGAGUGAAAUCUUGUAAUCCCCGAGGGACGACCGAUGGCGAAGGCAUCUUACCAGAACGGCUUCGACAGUGAGGGACGAAAGCUGGGGGAGCAAACCGGAUUAGAUACCCGGGUAGUCCCAGCCGUAAACGAUGCGCGUUAGGUGUAUCGGUGACCACGAGUUACCGAGGUGCCGAAGGGAAACCGUGAAACGCGCCGCCUGGGAAGUACGGUCGCAAGGCUGAAACU
rnacentral:rRNA from 1 species